rnacentral:lncRNA from 1 species
AAGGGGGGGGCUGAGGGGGUGGGCGUGAGUUGCACGUGGUGCAAGCGGGAGUGUUUGCGUGCGUAGUCACGUGACUUCGGCACCUUUCCCUCCGCUUUCGAUAGGUUGCUCCAUCAUGUGACAAUGGCGAAUUUCGCGGUUUCCUUCGCCAUCUGACAACUUUUGGCGCCUUCCCUUUGCCGUACUGGGAGUCCUCCAUCACGUGACGAGGGCACGCUCUGGUUUUCGCUAAGGCGUUUUUUGAGCGGCCAUUACCACGUGAUGCAAGGCAAGCGUCAGAGGCGGAGCCUCCCUACGGCUGCGACAUUUUGCGCCUGCGCGGCCGCCAUCUUACGCCCGUCGCCCUGAGUACGUUAGCGGAAAUGGCUCCGAGAGGCUUUGACGCAUGUGUACCUUUUUAGUGGCGGUAUCUCGGCCGGGGAUUUUCGGGCUCCAGUGGAGGUGGCUAUGCUCACCCCAUCUCCCUUGAGAGGCACAGAAGGUUAGAGAUGUGUGCGAGGAACGGCCAGGUCCAGCGUCUCCUCGUUGCUGCCCCUUGAGCCCGGGACCGGCGCCAAUGCGCGCCCGGGUUCUUGGGUUCUUUCGUCCCGCAGACCUGCCUUGGUGUGGCGUCCCUGGGCCGUAGCUUCCGAAGGCUGCAGCCGACCUGGUCGGGGUCCUCUAGCCCGCCUUCCCCUUCCCCCAUUGACAGAUGGAGAAACUGAGGCCCAGGCCAAAAAAUAUCUCACUAGAGGGCUCACCGCCAUUUCCUGGAAAAAUUGGGGCUGGGACUCAACGGACGCUCGUCCAGCAGCAGCGCGGAGCUCCGAAGUAAAGGCGCCCGUGACCGAGUGCUUUGUCCUUACAAGCGUGGUGUUCUUGAAUGCUUCCAGGCGCCUUAUGAGGCCCCCGAUGUACAAUCUGUGCUUAACUAAACCCCACUGUCUUCCAGGGUCAGGUUGGCCAUCCGCAGGCGUAGUUGCUAGGAAGGUUUGACAGAUGUCCGCCUGUUGAUUCAGACGUUCCCAGGAUUUGGAGCAAGAAGAGCAAGGAAGGCCAGGCGCGGUGGCUCACGUUUGUAAUCCCAGCACUUUGGGAGGCCGAGGCGGGCGGAUCACGAGGUCAGGAGUUCGAGACCAGCCUGGCCAGCAUGGUGAAACCCCGUCUCUACUAAAAAUACAAAAGAAAAUUAGCCGGGUGUGGUGGCACAUGCCUGUAGUCCCACCUACUUGGGAGGCUGAGGCAGGAGAAUUGUUUGACCUGGCAGGCGGAGGUUGCAGUGAGCCGAGAUUGCGCCACUGCACUCCAGUCUGGGCGACAGAGCGAGACUCUGUCUCAGAAAAAAAAAAGAGCAAGGAGGUGUUGAAAAUGGGUUUCCUGGCUGGGCGUGGUGGCUCACGCUUGUAAUCCCAGCACUUUGGGAAGCUGAGGUGGGCGGAUCACUUGAGGUCAGGAGUUUGAGACCAGCCUGGCCAACAUGGUGAAACACCGUCUCCACUAAAAAUAGAAAAAUUAACUGGGUGUGGUGGAGGGCGCCUGUAAUCCCAGCUAAUCAGGAAGCUGAGACAGGAGGAUCGCUUGAACCCAGGAGGCGGAGGUUGCAGUGAGCCGAGAUUGCUCCAUUGCACUCCAGCCUGGGCGAUAGAGUGAGACUCAGCCUCAAAAAAAAAAAAAAAAAAAAAUUCGCCAGGUGUGGUGGUGUGCGCCUAUAAUCCCAGCUACUCAGGAGGCAGAGGCACAAGAAUGGCUUGAAUCACUUGAACCUGGGAGGCAGAGGUUACAAUGAGCCGAGAUGGCACCACUGCACUCCAGCCUGGGCGACAGAGCGAGACUCCGACUUCCCAUCUUAAAAAAAAAAAAAAAAAAAAAAAAGAAGUGUAAAGAUGUGAUUAUGUGGCAGGGGGUAAGGGUUAAAAAGAAAACAAGAACAAGUUUUCCUCUGCUUAGCCAGCUUACUUCAAGGACAGUUAUAACACUGAAAAGUCGAGGCCAAAGGAAUGGGCUCCAGACAGCCUCCUCCGGAGCAAAGUUGAAAAGAAAAAUUCCUUUACUGUCUCUCCUUUUCUGAACCAUUAAAUAUGACUGUUUGCCAAUGGUUGUAUUUAGUAAGAUUUGUAGACUCUGUUUUUCUUUUGACACAGCUGCAAGGCCAACAGCUGUGCAAAGCCACAAGUUAUGCUAAGUCAGCAGUUAUGCUAUAGAUUACAUGACCUGUGACUGUAUCAUUAACUGCUUUUGUUUUGCUUCUGUAAGUUUGCCUAUAAAAACCACACUCAGUCUUUGUUCAAUGGUCAGCUUUUCAGAUACAAAUCCACUGAGCCGGUGUACAUCUAAAUAAAUCCUCCUGUUUCCCGUGUCAGUCUCUCUGGUCCUUUGUUUCCUGCAACAAUUACAGAAAUGAGUGCCUAGCCGGGCAUGGUGGCUCACGCCUGUAAUCCCCACACUUUGGGAGGCCGAGGCUGGAGGAUCCCUUAAGCCCAGGAGUUUGAGGCCAGCUUGAGCAACAUGGCAAAACCCAGUCUCUACAAAAAUUAGCUGAGCGUGAUGGCCUGUGUCCAUAGUUCCAUCUACUUGGGAGGAGUAGGUGGGAGGAUCACUUGAGCUGUGGAGGUCCAGGCUGCAGUGAGCCGUGAUGGAGUCACUGCACUUUUCAGCCUGGAUGGCACAGCUAGACCGUCUCAAAAAAGAAAUGAGUGCAUGCUGUACCCUCUGCUUUUCUAUUUUAUUUACAUUUUACUGUGGAUUUUUAAUAGGUAGCAUAGUCACAUGAUACGUCAAAUGUGCCAAAGACCCACCGCGACCAGCCAUUGUACAGUUUUUUGUGUAACUACAGUAGAGUUUUAUUUUCAGAGGUGCAUAAUCAUAUUCUUGUUUUUCACAUAAAUUGAUAAGUUAUUCUGCACCAGGCUUUUUAAUUUCAUUUCCUGUGCCUCAGAUCUGUCUCACAAAUAGAGCUGGAAAUUGAAGAAAGGUUUGGUAAGAUGAUUGGGG